AUAUAUAUAUAUAUAUAUAGUCCCAUAUAAUUCAUUACACAAAAUUAAAUUAUUUGAAGUUUUGAAGAUUUUCAAUGUCGAGGCAAGUAUUUGGUUGGGAUGAAAUGGAUCAACAAAAGGAGAAUUACACUCCAAAAGUGGAUUGGAAAGAGAGAAAGGAAACAAAUAAAGAGUACUAUGAUAUGAUGAUCGAUUUUUCGGGUUGUUCAAGGAAUCAACUGCAAAUCUCGAUGAGUAGAGAAUUAAAGACUAUUGAUAUUAUGACAACAAAAAAAGAAGGAUACAAUAUCGUUCGUGUCAACGAAUCCAUACCAAUUAAGAACGAGUGCUCGUUGGAUGAUGUCUAUGCAUCGUUUGUUAAAAAUGAUCUUAUUAUUACAUUCCCGAAGAAAACAAAUGUUUAAUUUCCAUCCAAAUCGAGAUUUACUUUCUUAAUGAAUAAACACGGACUUCCUAGGUUUGUGUAAAA